UUUCCGUAGGUGAACCUGCGGAAGGAUCAUUCAUAAUAAGUGUUUUAUGGCACUUUUUUAAACCCAUAUCCACCUUGUGUGCAAUGACAGGGUUGAUUUUUCUCUCGAGAGGAUCAACCCCAAACAUCAACUAUAUCUCAACUCUUUGUCUGAAAAAUAUUAUGAAUAAAACAAUUCAAAAUACAACUUUCAACAACGGAUCUCUUGGCUCUC
rnacentral:misc_RNA from 1 species